GCGGGAGUAGCUCAGGGGUAGAGCACAACCUUGCCAAGGUUGGGGUCGAGGGUUCGAAUCCCUUCUCCCGCUCCA
rnacentral:tRNA from 43 species